CCCCCUUGAACGUGGUUUCCUCAAGCAGGGUCGGGCCUGGUUAGUACUUGGAUGGGAGACCACCUAGGAAGACCAGGU
rnacentral:rRNA from 1 species